rfam:Eubacterium sp. CAG:603 genomic scaffold, scf93
UGAGUAGGACAGAUAAUCGUGGCUGCUAUUGGCGAAAGUACGCAGGUAAGGAAAGUCCGGGCUUCACAGGGCAGGAUGCCAGAUAACAUCUGGUAGAGGUGACUCUAAGGCCAGUGCAACAGAAAUAAACCGCCAUAUUCUAUAUGGUAAGGGUGGAAAGGCAGAGUAAGAGACUACCGCUGUAAUGGUAACAUUACAGGCACAUGUAAACCCCAUCCGAAGCAAGACCGAACAGAAAACAAUUAGUUGCCCGCUAAGUUUUCGGGUAGGUCGCUUGAGCCUAUUGGCGACAAUAGGACUAGAUAGAUGAUUGUCUAAAACAUAACCCGGCUUACAGUUCUGCUCAUUAC